GAGUCAACAUCCUAGCCAACCUUCACAAAGGCACCAAUGACAACAGGAAUCACAGAGGCUCAUCCAGGAAGCAGUGCUAAUUGUUGGGCGAUUGCUGAGGGACACCCUACUUGAAGAUAUCAGGAAAUCCCCAUGAAUGUGCUGAAGGAACCUAUGCUGCAAUUGUUAGAGGUCAAGGAUGUAAGAUUGAUGUGAAGACAAGACAACAACUAUGUUGAUGAAGUGCCUGCCAUCCAUGAUGUGAUGUCCCUUCACAUGACUGGCUGAUGUUUUGCCUCACCUAGCAGAACUGUCUGUUGCUGUGCCAAGAUGAGGUGUACACAACUGUAAAGCCUCUGUAGAAGGUGGUACAGCCGGGCAAGGCCUACCAAGUGUCUGAAGACAGCGUGACCACCUUGAACCAUCAAGGCUUUACUUCAGAGAUAGAUAUUGACUAUUUCUGGAACAAGAUCUACAUCCCCUUCCUGACGAACAUUGUGGUGAACCUAGAGGAUCGAUUCCCAGACCUGCCACUCCUCCAGAAGUUUGAGGUCUUUAACACCCGGAAAUUCUUUGGGGAGGAGCCAACCUGCC